rnacentral:rRNA from 1 species
AACGAACGCUGGCGGCAUGCCUAACACAUGCAAGUCGAACGAGACCUUCGGGUCUAGUGGCGCACGGGUGCGUAACGCGUGGGAACCUGCCCUUAGGUUCGGAAUAACUCCCCGAAAGGGGUGCUAAUACCGGAUAAUGUCUUCGGACCAAAGAUUUAUCGCCUUGGGAUGGGCCCGCGUUGGAUUAGCUAGUUGGUAGGGUAAAAGCCUACCAAGGCGACGAUCCAUAGCUGGUCUGAGAGGAUGAUCAGCCACACUGGGACUGAGACACGGCCCAGACUCCUACGGGAGGCAGCAGUGGGGAAUAUUGGACGAUGGGCGAAAGCCUGAUCCAGCAAUGCCGCGUGAGUGAUGAAGGCCUUAGGGUUGUAAAGCUCUUUUACCCGGGAUGAUAAUGACGGUACCGGGAGAAUAAGCUCCGGCUAACUCCGUG